CCUCUGAAGAAGACGUUGAGCACAACUUCCUUUGUGAAAUGCAAACAAAAAUGAAGUGGUGUUAAAUUUUAGUGGUUGGCAGAUUUCUCAAGCCAUUUCUCCCUCUAGCAUUAACCUACUGUGUUUGUUUUAGUUGUAUUUACCCAGAAUGCCCUGCUCUGUAGUCCACUUCCUGCUUUUGAGACGAUAUCUGGUCCACUUGGUUCACAUAUACAUUCAACGUCACCAGAGUUCACAUGGAUUUUCUAAGCUGAGCUCCAGCACGUUUGGUCAGCUGGUUUUAACACUGUAUGCGUUUUACAAUGGCUGCUGGAAAAGACAAGUGUUUUGUUGUUAAAUUACCAUCCUGAAACCACUUAGUGGGUCCUUGUUUGUUGUGCUGGAGACUCCACUUCUGCUUUUCAAAGACACACGGUUGUUUGAUUACAGUUAGGAAUUCCUUUAUGCAAUAAAUGUAAUUAACAUGUUUUGUAACCCAUAAAUCUACCCUAACCUGUUCAAGAAAGUACUGUUGGUCACCUUUAGUGUCUGAAUGCUGUGAAAAUGUGAAAUAAAAUUCAUGGUUUAUAAACACAAACCUGGCCAGUAAAGCUGAAUCUGAGAAAGCAGCCAUUUCUCUAUUACAACUCUCCGUGACACACCUUUUAGUUUUCACAGGAGAUGUUUGUGUUGCGACUGCACGCCUUUAAAACGCCUCUGUGAUUUAAACACGUUUCAUUCAUCUCAACAUUAAAUCUGCUUACAAUGUUACCAUGUUUAAUAAAAAGAAGUGUCACCCAGUGUGUAACUGAAAACAGACACACAUAAAUAUAGAUAUACAAAUCUGCCUGGUCAGUAAGACGCUGACACACACACCCACACCCACACACACACACACACACACACACACACACACAGACUCGGUAUUCACACAUGCUGCAUCAGCUGGCCCGUUCACAGCCUCACCAACACAUGUGAGGCACAGAUAAGAGCGAAGAGACGCCGGCAUCCUGUUUAUGCUGCUCCACUCCCUCUGCACACGCAGCAGCUGAUGAUCGGAUAUACGGGCGUGUUUCUGCUGCACGUCUGCUGCGACCAGAAUGAAGGUGGUUCCCAACACGGGGGCCCCGGCCCUUUAAAAGGAGCACGAAGAAGCUGAGGGAGGAUCCAAGGUUUCAGAGGCAAAGAGAGAAAACUACAAACAAAAGUCCAGCAGCGCCAUGGCGACAUGCCCAAGACUCGGCGCAUCAGCAUCCGUUGCCGUGGCAACAGCCAUGGACCAGGCCAAGGUUCCCCGAGAGCAGCUGCAGCAGCGGAGCAGCAUCUGUCUGCACGGAUUCAGACAGGAGCGACGAAACAUGGCCGCCUUCACUGCCAACCGCUUGUUAAAGAAACACGAGGAAAACUCGUUGCAUGUCAUUAUUUUACAUUCGCACCGUAAACAGCAGCGAUGCAGCUUCGCGUCCUCCCUGUGGAAUCUGUUGUCCUGAAAAACUAAACCCAGAGUUUCAUCGCUGCUGGUUUUCACCAUUUAAAGUCAACUAAACAUGUCAAAUUGAC